UACGUAGGGUGCAAGCGUUGUCCGGAAUUAUUGGGCGUAAAGAGCUCGUAGGCGGUUUGUCGCGUCUGCUGUGAAAACUCAGGGCUUAACUCUGAGCCUGCAGUGGGUACGGGCAGACUAGAGUGCGGUAGGGGAGACUGGAAUUCCUGGUGUAGCGGUGAAAUGCGCAGAUAUCAGGAGGAACACCGGUGGCGAAGGCGGGUCUCUGGGCCGAUACUGACGCUGAGGAGCGAAAGCGUGGGGAGCGAACAGG
rnacentral:rRNA from 1 species